rnacentral:rRNA from 1 species
AUGUCCCGCCUCCGGCGCCGCUCCUCCUCCACCUCCACCUCGCCGCGCUCACGCCCUUGGUCUCCCCAGGCCGCCUUUGCCGCUGCCACACAGUGCGUCAGCGCUGGGACGCUCACCCCAGAACACGCACACCACCUGUUCGACGAAUUGCUAUGGCGGUACACUCCGGUCCUCGAGCGCUCCCAGGACGGCUUUCUUGCUGCUCUCGCCCGUGCUAGGUCCUCCGCGGUCUGCAGAGAUGGCCCCGUGCUCGCGCUCGACCUCUUCAGCCGCUUGUGCCGCGAAGAAGCCGGCCCUCGGGUGGCGCCGCCCACAAUCUUUACGUACGGCGUUCUAAUGAACUGUUGAUGCCGCACUCGUCGCCCGCAACUAGAGCUUGUCUUCUUCGGCCGUCUCCUCAGGAGGGGCCUGAAGACAAACACGAUCGUCUUCAGCUCCCUCCUCAAGUGCCUCUGCCACGCCAAACAGACAGACGAGGCUGUCAGCGUGCUGCUUCAUAGCAUGUCCGAGCUCGGUUGUGUGCCUGAUGCCUUCUCUUACACCAUUGUUCUUAAGAUCUUAUGUGAUGCUAGCAGCAGCCAGUGGGCGCUCGACCUGCUCCAGACUAUGGAGAAAGGAGGAGGUGUCUGCUCCCCUGACGUGGUGUCAUAUACCACGGUCAUCCACAACCUCCUUAAGGAAGGGGAAGUAAGCAAGGCAUGCAAUCUAUACCAUGAAAUGGUGCAGCAAGGGGUUGUGCCUGAUGUGAGGACAUAUAGCUCGAUUAUUAAUGCGCUAUGCAAGGCCGAAGCAAUGGACAAGGCAGAGUUGUUCCUUCGUCAGAUGGUUGAUAAGGGUGUUCGGCCGAAUAACAAGACAUAUACUAGCAUAAUCCAUGGAUAUUCCACGUUGGGCCGGUGGAAAGAAGCUGGCAAAAUGUUCAGAGAAAUGACAAGCCAGGGUAUCAUACCAGAUGUUGUUACUUGGAACUCAUUCAUGGCCUCCUUCUGCAAGCAUGGAAGAAGCAGAGAAGCUGCCAAAAUUUUUGAUUACAUGUCUUCCAGGGGACACAAGCCUAAUGUCGUCUCAUAUUCUAUUUUGUUUCAUGGAUAUGGUAUAGAAGGAUGCUUUGCUGAUAUGAUUAAUCUCCUUAAUUCAAUGGCAAACAACGGUAUUGUUCCCAAUCGCUAGGUUUUCAACAUUUUAGUUGAUGCGUAUGCAAAAUGUGGAAUGAUGGAUGAAGCUAUGCUCAUAUUUUCUGGAAUGUGCGGACAAGGAGUGACUCCAGAGUCUAGAAUGGCUAGGCUGGCUGAUGCUUUGAAUAAGUUCAGUCAGAUGAUUUCAACUGAUAUACAACCGAACACAGUUGUUUAUCACUCCCUAAUUCAGGGUUUCUGUGCAUAUGGCGAUUCGGUGAAAGCAAAGGAGUUGGUUUAUGAAAUGAUAAACAAUGGUUUUCCUCGUCCUAACAUUGUGUUCUUCAGUUCAAUAAUAAAUAGUCUAUGCAAAGAAGGAAAGGUUAUAGAUGCACAAGAUAUCUUCAACUUGGUUGUAGAAAUAGGUGAGAGUCCUGAUGUCACUAUAUUUACUUCACUAAUUGAAGGAUUUUGCCUAGUCGGCAAAAUGGAGAAAGCAUCCCAAGUGUUUGAUUCCAUGGUAUCAGUUGGCAUUGAGCCUAAUAUUGUUACAUAUGGUACACUUGUUGAUGGCUAUUGUAGAAGUGGAAGGAUAGAUGAUGGGUUGAUUCUAUUCAGAGAUUUGCUUCACAAGGGAGUUAAACCUACAACAAUUACAUAUUACAUCAUACUGGAUGGGUUAUUUCUUGCUGGGAGAACAGUUGCUGCCAAGAAAAUGUUCCAUGAGAUGAUCGGAAGUGGAACACCCGUGAGCCUGCACACAUAUGAUAUAAUUCUUGGAGGUCUUUGUAGGAAUAAUUGUGCUGACGAAGCGAUUACCCUGUUCCAGAAAUUAGUAGCGAUGAAUGUGAAGUUGGAUAUUACAAUACACAAUACCAUGAUCAAUGCAAUGUUCAAAGUUCAGAGAAGAGAAAAAGCUAACAUUUUUGCUGCAGUAUCAGCCAGUGGAUUGGUACCUAAUGCUUCUACCUACGGUGUAAUGAUAAAAAAUCUUAUAAAAGAAGGAUCAGUGGAAAAGGCUGAAAAUAUGUUCUCAUUAAUGGAGAAGAGCGGUUGUGCUCCAGACUCUCGUCUUAUAAAUGAUAUCAUCAUAAUAUUAUUAGAGAAAGGUGAGAUUGUCAAGGCUGGAAAUUAUAUGUCCAAAGUUGAUGGCAAGAGCAUCUCACUUGAAGCAUCAACUACUUCAUUGCUGAUACAUCUCUUUUCAAGUAAAGGGGAAUAUUGGGAACAAAUAAAUUUGCUCCCUGUAAAGUACCAAUUUUUUGAUGGAUUUAGUUGA